CCUACGGGCGGCAGCAGUGGGGAAUAUUGCACAAUGGGCGCAAGCCUGAUGCAGCCAUGCCGCGUGUGUGAAGAAGGCCUUCGGGUUGUAAAGCACUUUCAGCGGGGAGGAAGGCGUUAAGGUUAAUAACCUUGGCGAUUGACGUUACCCGCAGAAGAAGCACCGGCUAACUCCGUGCCAGCAGCCGCGGUAAUACGGAGGGUGCAAGCGUUAAUCGGAAUUACUGGGCGUAAAGCGCACGCAGGCGGUCUGUCAAGUCGGAUGUGAAAUCCCCGGGCUCAACCUGGGAACUGCAUUCGAAACUGGCAGGCUAGAGUCUUGUAGAGGGGGGUAGAAUUCCAGGUGUAGCGGUGAAAUGCGUAGAGAUCUGGAGGAAUACCGGUGGCGAAGGCGGCCCCCUGGACAGAGACUGACGCUCAGGUGCGAAAGCGUGGGGAGCAAACAGGAUUAGAUACCCGGGUAGUC
rnacentral:rRNA from 1 species